GUUGUGAAGGGCUGGUACGUAAUUGCUGACUUUAACAUUAUGGGAAAGCAAACAAAAUAUGUGACUCGUUGUGUCGGUCAACUUCAAGUCAGGAUAUUUUCGGAACUAGUUUUAGAAAUUUAAAUGUGACGUCAUGUCACUUUGGGCGUUGCAAUGACUAUGGCUAACACGGCUGUGAUUGUCAUGUAUUCGUUUUAUUCUUUAGCUAGUCACCACUUUAUUUUAAUCAUGUAUAUCUAUUAAAAAGUCAUUUUAUCAAAUUUAUUGUUUGCAAAACUACUAGUAUUUAUUAUUCUUGAUAAUAAUAUUUUUUCAAAGGGAAUAAUCCUGGCCUCACAACUUUUUAGAACUUUUAGUCCUCGGCGAUCCUCAACUUUGUAUUUGUAAUGGCUUUCAAACUUUUUUCAUCUGAGCAAUAUU
rnacentral:lncRNA from 1 species